ACCCCCCAAACCCCACUUUUUAACCCCCCAAUUCCAAACCUGAUUUUAGGGCGAGAGGUGCAGCAUAAAGAAAGCGGCGGCGCGGGGCCUUUGCACUAUUUUUGGUGGCGGUUCCUGUUGCAGGAAAAGAAGAAAAAAAAAAAAAAAAAAAGGUAAUUUUGGGUUUUUCCCACUCCAAAAAGAAAUGUACAUGUCAAAAAAAUGGAUUUUUUUUCAGUAAAUAAAUGGAAAUAUUCUCUUUAUUCCAGGAUGGGCCCCGAGCCUGCAGAAUUCCUUUGGAAAAACCCCAAAAAUCCCAAAACUCCUUGGAAGGAAGGAAGGAAGGAAGGAAGGAAGG